rnacentral:rRNA from 1 species
UACGUAGGUGGCAAGCGUUGUCCGGAUUUAUUGGGCGUAAAGCGCGCGCAGGCGGUCCUUUAAGUCUGAUGUGAAAUCUUGCGGCUCAACCGCAAGCGGUCAUUGGAAACUGGGGGACUUGAGUACAGAAGAGGAAAGUGGAAUUCCACGUGUAGCGGUGAAAUGCGUAGAGAUGUGGAGGAACACCAGUGGCGAAGGCGGCUCUCUGGGACGUGACUGACGCUGAGACGCGAAAGCGUGGGGAGCGAACAGG